rnacentral:rRNA from 1 species
UACGUAGGGUGCAAGCGUUAUCCGGAAUUAUUGGGCGUAAAGGGCUCGUAGGCGGUCUGUCACGUCAGGAGUGAAAACUCGGGGCUCAACCCCGAGCCUGCUUCUGAUACGGGCAGACUGGAGGUAUGCAGGGGAGAACGGAAUUCCUGGUGUAGCGGUGAAAUGCGCAGAUAUCAGGAGGAACACCGGUGGCGAAGGCGGUUCUCUGGGCAUUACCUGACGCUGAGGAGCGAAAGUGUGGGGAGCGAACAGG